UCGGUGUGAGUAGAGCGGCGGACGGGUGAGUAAUGCUUGGGAAUCUGCCCAGUAGUGGGGGAUAACGUGUGGAAACGCACGCUAAUACCGCAUACGUCCUACGGGAGAAAGCAGGGGAUCUUCGGACCUUGCGCUAUUGGAUGAGCCCAAGUCGGAUUAGCUAGUUGGUGGGGUAAUGGCCUACCAAGGCGACGAUCCGUAGCUGGUCUGAGAGGAUGAUCAGCCACACUGGGACUGAGACACGGCCCAGACUCCUACGGGAGGCAGCAGUGGGGAAUAUUGCACAAUGGGCGAAAGCCUGAUGCAGCCAUGCCGCGUGUGUGAAGAAGGCUCUAGGGUUGUAAAGCACUUUCAGUAGGGAGGAAAUGUUGUUGACUAAUAAUCAACAAUCUUGACGUUACCUACAGAAGAAGCACCGGCAAACUCCGUGCCAGCAGCCGCGGUAAUACGGAGGGUGCGAGCGUUAAUCGGAAUUACUGGGCGUAAAGCGCGCGUAGGUGGUUUGAUAAGCUAGCUGUGAAAGCCCCGGGCUUAACCUGGGAACUGCAGUUAGAACUGUCUGACUAGAGUACAGUAGAGGGUGGCGGAAUUUCCUGUGUAGCGGUGAAAUGCGUAGAUAUAGGAAGGAACAUCAGUGGCGAAGGCGGCCACCUGGACUGAUACUGACACUGAGGUGCGAAAGCGUGUGGAGCAAACAGGAUUAGAUACCCUGGUAGUCCACGCCGUAAACGAUGUCUACUAGCCGUUGGGAGACUUGAUCUCUUAGUGGCGCAGUUAACGCGAUAAGUAGACCGCCUGGGGAGUACGGCCGCAAGGUUAAAACUCAAAUGAAUUGACGGGGGCCCGCACAAGCGGUGGAGCAUGUGGUUUAAUUCGACGCAACGCGAAGAACCUUACCAGGUCUUGACAUCCU
rnacentral:rRNA from 1 species